rnacentral:rRNA from 1 species
UACGUAGGCUCCAAGCGUUGUUCGGAAUUACUGGGCGUAAAGCGAGUGUAGGCGGUCCGUCAAGUCGGUUGUGAAAUCUCCUGGCUCAACUGGGAGGGUGCGACCGAAACUGACGGACUGGAGUCCGGGAGAGGAGAGUGGAAUUCCUGGUGUAGCGGUGAAAUGCGUAGAUAUCAGGAGGAACACCGGUGGUGAAGACGGCUCUCUGGACCGGUACUGACGAUGAGACUCGAAAGCGUGGGGAGCAAACAGG